ensembl:miRNA pma-mir-23a pma-mir-23a
UGCUGAGUGGGGUUCCUGGCACGGUGAUUUGUAAUGUGCAGAGACAAAAAUCACAUUGCCAGGGAUUACCGCUCAGUG